CAAUAGCGUAUAUUAAAGUUGUUGCAGUUAAAAAGCUCGUAGUUGGAUUUCUGAUCGAGACAUCAGGUCGGGUCCGAGAGGAUCAUGUACUUUGAUUUUGUUUUGAUCAUCCUUGGGGAGAGCAUUUCUGGCAUUCAGUUGUCGGGAUUGGGAUCCUCAUCGUUUACUGUGAAAAAAUUAGAGUGUUCAAAGCAGGCCUCGGCCUCUGAAUACAUUAGCAUGGAAUAAUAAGAUAGGACUUUGGUGGUCUAUUUUGUUGGUUUGCACGCCAAAGUAAUGAUUAAUAGGGAUAGUUGGGGGUAUUCGUAUUCAAUUGUCAGAGGUGAAAUUCUUGGAUUUAUGGAAGACGAACUACUGAGAAAGCAUUUACCAAGGAUGUUUUCAUUAA
rnacentral:rRNA from 1 species